CGAUGGCUGAAGCAUGAUGAGUAUGUAAAAUCUUGAUAAUAGAAUGAAAACAGAAAAGAUCCAACUCUGAUUUCAUCCAGAG
rnacentral:snoRNA from 10 species